rnacentral:rRNA from 1 species
AUUGAACGCUGGCGGCAGGCCUAACACAUGCAAGUCGAACGAGUGGCGGACGGGUGAGUAAUGUCUGGGAAACUGCCUGAUGGAGGGGGAUAACUACUGGAAACGGUAGCUAAUACCGCAUACCAUCGGAUGUUCCCAGAUGGGAGUAGCUAGUAGGUGGGGUAACGGCUCACCUAGGCGACGAUCCCUAGCUGGUCUGAGAGGAUGACCAGCGACACUGGAACUGGGAAACGGUCCAGACUCCUGCGGGAGGCAGAAGUGGGGAAUGUUGCACAAUGGGCGCAAGCCUGAGGCAGCCAUGCGGCGGGUAUGAAGAAGGCCUUCGGGUUGUAAAGUACUUUCAGCGGGGAGGCGUUACCCGCAGAAGAAGCACCGGCUAACUCCGUGCCAGCCGCCGCGGUAAUUC